AGUAAAAGUCGUAACAAGGUCUCCGUAGGUGAACCUGCGGAGGGAUCAUUACAAGUGACCCCGGUCUAACCACCGGGAUGUUCAUAACCCUUUGUUGUCCGACUCUGUUGCCUCCGGGGCGACCCUGCCUUCGGGCGGGGGCUCCGGGUGGACACUUCAAACUCUUGCGUAACUUUGCAGUCUGAGUAAACUUAAUUAAUAAAUUAAAACUUUUAACAACGGAUCUCUUGGUUCUGGCAUCGAUGAAGAACGCAGCGAAAUGCGAUAAGUAAUGUGAAUUGCAGAAUUCAGUGAAUCAUCGAAUCUUUGAACGCACAUUGCGCCCCCCGGUAUUCCGGGGGGCAUGCCUGUUCGAGCGUCAUUUCACCACUCAAGCCUCGCUUGGUAUUGGGCAACGCGGUCCGCCGCGUGCCUCAAAUCGACCGGCUGGGUCUUCUGUCCCCUAAGCGUUGUGGAAACUAUUCGCUAAAGGGUGCUCGGGAGGCUACGCCGUAAAACAAACCCAUUUCUAAGGUUGACCUCGGAUCAGGUAGGGAUACCCGCUGAACUUAAGCAUAUCAAUAAGCGGAGGAAAAGAAACCAACAGGGAUUGCCCCAGUAACG
rnacentral:rRNA from 1 species